rnacentral:rRNA from 1 species
AUGGCGCCGGCCGACGGCAAGGACGCGCCCCCUCCUCCCCGCCCCCCGCCUCCCCCCGCCGGGCCGGCCCUCCCCGGCGGCGCGGAGGAGUACGUGCGCGACUCCAUCGAGGCCUCCCUCGGCCUCCCCGUGCCCGACCGCUCGCUCCGAGCCAAGCUCGCCGCCUCCGAGGACCUGCGCCGCCGCCUCCAGGACCGCGUCUUCGCGCUCGAGGAGGAACUCCACGCCGCCGCCCGCCGCAUCGACCUCCUCAAGGUCCGUCCGCCUCUUCCCCCUUUCCCCGUCCGUUCCGUUCCGUUCCGCAUCGGCGGUUACCUGGCUGCUCGCUCGCUGGCUGUUCGACGGAAUGCCUGCCUGACGGAUCGAGACGGCCCCGUGCGGUGCGUGCAGAACGAGUCGGCGAUGAACGCGGAGGGGAUCCGGCGGUGCGUGGAGGAGAAGGAGGCCGUGGCGGCCGCGCGCGACCAGCUCGCCGCCCACGCCGCCAGGCUCGAGAAGGAGUGCGGCCUCUACGAGCGCGACCUGGAGCGCGCCAUGGAGUCCUGCGACGAGCUCGCCAGGGAGAGCGACGACCUGCGCAACCGCCUCAGGGACGCCCCCGACCUUACUGAACAAGUGCAAGCGCUGCAGAGGGACAAGGAGAUACUCAAGACCAACCUAAACAAAGCAGAGGAGGAGGUUAAGUUGCUAUUCGAGGAGAACAGAGCCCUCGACGAAGCCAACAAGAGGCUGCUGUGCUUGCUGGAGAAGGAGCAGAAGCAUCGGUCCGAAAGAAAGCACUCGGCCAGUAAUUCCACCAAGCAGAAACGCAAGUCGUCGAGCCUCAAGGACACGAGCCCGGUCGGCCUGGCCAUCGAUUUCAACAGUGCGGACGCGUCGAGGCAGCCCCUGUUGCCCUUGCAGCCAAACUCUCCGGACUGCAGGGUCCAUAAGAAGUGA